CUGAAAACCAGUGCUGGAUGAGCAGGAAAGGCACCAGGAUUAAAUAAAUCCUGGCUGUAAGCCUGGUCAGGAGCAGGCUAGCUGCACAGAAUAAAUCUCCAUGGUGAUUUAUGUGCCUCCGACAUUGUGAAACAGAGUCAAGGCUAAAUUCA